ACAGAGUACUUAGUUGGGCUGAAGUCUUGCUUCUUGUUAUUUGCUUCUUUACACGUACACACAUUCAUGUUACUUGGAGCCUUGGCUGCCUCUGCCUGCCUAUUUAUAGGCUGCCAAACCGACAUGGAGGAAGGUUCCUGAUACACUAAAUUUUCUAGUUUUUACUAGCCAGUACAAGCUACUACAAACUACUAGAUGAGUAGACAUGACUAAACUUAAUUUUACAGUGUUAGCAAUCUUUGACUUUUGUGCUUCAAGAAAGUAAGAGAGAGAUGGAGAUUUAGCUGGUGUUUUCUAGAAAUGAAUUAACUAACACUUCUGCCACGGCGGAUUCACCCACUCGGGGCACCUGGCGCACCUCAUGCCGGCGUGCUGCUCCACGCGCCCGAUCUUCCCGGCGAACUCGUUCUUGCAGGAGGGGCAGUAGACGAGGAUGGCCUCGGGCGCCAGUACAUCGGCGGCGGAGGCGGCUGGGCGGCCCGGGGCGGAGGCCCGCACGGGCGGUUCGUCGACGACGUCCCCAC
rnacentral:lncRNA from 1 species